GUGGAUUAGAUACCCUAGUAGUCCACGCCGUAAACGUUGGGCGCUAGGUGUGGGCCACAUUCCACGUGGUCUGUGCCGUAGCUAACGCAUUAAGCGCCCCGCCUGGGGAGUACGGCCGCAAGGCUAAAACUCAAAGGAAUUGACGGGGGCCCGCACAAGCGGCGGAGCAUGUGGCUUAAUUCGAUGCAACGCGAAGAACCUUACCUGGGUUUGACAUGCAGGGAAAUCUCGUAGAGAUACGGGGUCCUUUUGGGCCUUGCACAGGUGGUGCAUGGUCGUCGACAGCU
rnacentral:rRNA from 1 species